UCUUGAACGCAGCAUGACAGCACUUCACCACCACACCACUAGACUAUAUGAGCAAACCGCAUACGAUCGAUUUGACAGCAGCACUCACAAGUCCGAAGAAGUCACCCUGCUUGAUGCGAGUGCUGUAAAAUGCUU